ACUUGCUCUUUUUUCUUCUUCCCUUAUGAGACUUCUUAUUUGUGUCCUGAGCUUUUCAUUUACUGAAAACAUGUUUUGUUUUACUUUAUUGAGGAGAGUUGUCAUCGUUUAAAAUCCUUACCUGUCCGUUUCAAUCUGAAAAAAAAAAAAAAAAAAAAAAAAAAAGGACUCAUCUUCUUGACAUUUCGAAUCCUACCUUGGGUCUUAUGAGUAAGCUGCAGAGGUUCUGGAUUCUACUGUCAAUGCCUCAGAUGUCCUCCCCUGCCUCUCUGAAACUCCGCGUCCUGGGUUUCCAGGUCACCUGCCCAGGCCGGUUUGCACCUCCCUGUCCGGACCGCUCACUGCACAGUGUUAACUCCCGCUCCUCCGCCCCCGAAACCCGGGUCCCGCCGGAAAACACGGUUCUUGGCAGUCCCGGUCUCUCUUCUUGCCCCUUUCUUCCACAGAGAGCUCAGCGACGUCCACACUUCCAGAAGUCACCUGGCAGGGAACGGAGCGAGGCUCUUCCUGCUCCCCGGAAUCGGAGACCUGCGGCCGAGGCGGAAGGCGCAGAGGCGUUCGGUGGAUCCCAGUCUCUCAGCGGGGCUGCAGACAGCGCGGGCGGACGGAGAGCGCCGGGCUUCUGGGCUAGGCGUCCCCUGGAACUGUCUCCCCGCGGCCGUCUGCCCAGGUGUGCAUUCUCGCCGAGCGGAACCCGAGCCCCUGCGCACUGGUUCCAGCCGCACAGGCCAGGGGGCGGCGCUCAUCUCACUUCCCUCCCGGGCUGUGCGGCCCUCCGCCCGCAGGCGGCGCGCGCCGGGGAAGCGGAACCCGGACGCGCGCUCGCCCCUGCUUCUGGCCGGGCUCAGGGCGCGGUGCACCACCGGCUCGCCUCCCUGCCCGGCAUGGCGGAGCGCGACGAUUCCGAGCCCACCCCGGGCUGCAGCGGUCUGGGCAGCGGGGUGGGCCCGGGCGGCGUUGGCGGCGGCGGCGGCGCUCACCCAUGGGCUCCAGAGGACGCCUGGAUGGGCACCCACCCAAAGAUUUUAUUCCCCUUCCCUAUCCCCUUACUCUCUGUCAAGGUGAGAAAAACAAGCAUGAACAUGUUAUUCGGUGUCAUAAAAAGAAGAACCAUAACACCGUUUACUAGCAUGAACCGGAGAGUUCUGCCUGAGACUUUGAGUAGACUGCUUGAGUUUGGAGACCCUGUUAGGUCACCAGCUUUGUGGGGGUUUUUUUUGGGGGGGGUGGGUGGGACGGUUGGUUUUUUUCUUUUGGAAGUUUUAAAAUCUCAUUGUUCCUCAGUUUCCUCAUCUGUAAAAUAGAGAUAAGAAUUUACCUUAGAGGUUUGUUACAGGAUUAAAUCAGUUACUAUUUGUAAAGCACUAUAUAACAUAUGUAAACACUAUAUAACAUAUGUAAAAUAUAUAGUAUGCAACAUUAAUUUCGUAUUAUUCUCAUGGUUAGAAAUCCUCAGGGUUUCUUUAUGAAUAAAAUGCAAACUUUUAGCUUGGCUGUCAAGACCUUGCUUUUCCAAUUACCAAUUUCAGUGUCAUUUUCAAACACAUUUGAGGUGUGAGGAAGACGGCCAACAAUACCACUGUUCUCCUGCACCUGCCCAUGCUUAGGAUGAAGCUCGUGGGAGAGUAUGACCACAGGUCUGUACCCAUGCCAGUCUGCCGAUGCCUCACCUCUGCACGAGGCCUGCUUACCCACUGAGUCAUUGGGAUAGCUGGAAACCUCAGACUUCCCUUACAGGGGUAGUCCACUGAAGAAUGUUCUCCAGGGCUGACCAGCAAGUCUGAAAGAAGACAGGAGUCGUAUUUUAGUGGACUUUCUCCAUAGGCAAGCAGAGACCAUGGAAAUAGUGGUUCUCACUAAUGUGCUACAGCAGAAAUCCUAUUCAAAGAUGUCUGUGCUCCUGGCAGAUAGAUUUCUUUAUAGGCCUUAUACAUAUAGAAUAUGUGUGGCCUCUUCCCACAUAUAGAAUAUGUCUGGCCUCUUCCCACGUGUAUGUGAUUACUCACACUGUUACCCUGCCUUCACUAUGUACUCAAAUCAUAUCUGCCCUUUAGGGCCUAGUCUGUAAUCCACUCUGCCAGGAAACAUCCACCAACCAAGCCAUCUGAUUAGAGCUCCUCUGACAUGUUGUCUCUUGUUUUUUAUUCCACAUGCUGGUUUUUAAUCACUGUCAUGGGUGGUUAUUUGCCUAACAGUUGCAAGUGUGCAUGUGUUUACCUUAACAGUUGCAAGUCUUUUAGAGACGGGGACCAGGUAUUAAUUGCCUUCUAAUUCCCACUGUACCUAGAAGAGUACUUAGAAAUGAUGGAAUUAGAUAUAGGAGAUGCCAGCCAAGUUUAUAUAGCAUUUUUGGUUUACCUGGACCUCAUGGAGAGUAA